AUGGCAGCGGGCUGUCGGCGGACAGCAGGCGCUUCAGGAUCGCGUCGCGAAUCGUGUCGGCGAUGCAUUCCUGCUUCGAUUGCGGGCUGCCGCCC
rnacentral:tRNA from 1 species